GGUGAACGCUGGCGGUAGGCCUAACACAUGCAAGUCGAACGGCAGCACAGUAAGAGCUUGCUCUUACGGGUGGCGAGUGGCGGACGGGUGAGGAAUACAUCGGAAUCUACUUUUUCGUGGGGGAUAACGUAGGGAAACUUACGCUAAUACCGCAUACGACCUACGGGUGAAAGCAGGGGAUCUUCGGACCUUGCGCGAUUGAAUGAGCCGAUGUCGGAUUAGCUAGUUGGCGGGGUAAAGGCCCACCAAGGCGACGAUCCGUAGCUGGUCUGAGAGGAUGAUCAGCCACACUGGAACUGAGACACGGUCCAGACUCCUACGGGAGGCAGCAGUGGGGAAUAUUGGACAAUGGGCGCAAGCCUGAUCCAGCCAUACCGCGUAGGUGAAGAAGGCCUUCGGGUUGUAAAGCCCUUUUGUUGGGAAAGAAAAGCAGCAGGUUAAUACCCCGCUGUUCUGACGGUACCCAAAGAAUAAGCACCGGCUAACUUCGUG
rnacentral:rRNA from 1 species